UUUUAAAGCAUUCAUUUAAUGUUAUUGCAGAUCCGCUAAAUUCUUCAAGAAGUCCGGUUUACAGAACUGAAGCCGUUUAAGCACAAGGCGUCGCAGUUUAUAGAUGAGGAUCUACGGUUGCAAUGCUUUUGAUGCAUGCAAUCAGGAGGAUGCUACUACUCUUAUGGAGCUUCUUUGGCAUGGUUAAAUGUGUCUUAUUCAUGCAGUUACGCCUGAAACAGUGGUUCCCACCGCAACGCGCGGGC